rnacentral:tRNA from 1 species
GCCUCUUUAGUACAAUGGUUAGUAUGCUUCCCUAGUAAGGAAGUGAUGGCAGUUCGAUUCUGCCAAGAGGCU